AUUGAACGCUGGCGGCAGGCCUAACACAUGCAAGUCGAACGAGUGGCGGACGGGUGAGUAAUGUCUGGGAAACUGCCCGAUGGAGGGGGAUAACUACUGGAAACGGUAGCUAAUACCGCAUACCAUCGGAUGUGCCCAGAUGGGAUUAGCUAGUAGGUGGGGUAACGGCUCACCUAGGCGACGCUCCCUAGCUGGUCUGAGAGGAUGACCAGCCACACUGGAACUGAGACACGUGCCAGACUCCGACGGGAGGCAGCAGUGGGGAAUAUUGCACAAUGGGCGCAAGCCUGAUGCAGCCAUGCCGCGUGUAUGAAGAAGGCCUGCGGGUUGUAAAGUACUUUCAGCGGGGAGGCGUUACCCGCAGAAGAAGCACCGGCUAACUCCGUGCCAGCAGCCGCGGUAAUAC
rnacentral:rRNA from 1 species